GAGAGCUUAGGUUUUUUAAAAUUGGCUUUGGAAAGGGACUGCUAGCAUCAGCUACCUCACACACAGUACUCAACAAACUCCAUAACCGUAUAAACCUUCCCGCUCUCACAUAAACCCAAACACUUAACACUCAUUUCCCCAAAUCACAAUCACAGAACCAAAUGAAAUACGUUUUGAUCAGCGGCGGAGUGGUGAGUGGCCUCGGCAAAGGCGUUACCGCCAGCAGCAUCGGCGUUGUGCUCAAAGCUUGUGGCCUUCGCGUUACUUCCAUCAAAAUUGAUCCGUACUUGAACAUCGACGCUGGCACCAUGUCUCCUUUCGAGCAUGGAGAGGUUUUCGUUCUCGACGACGGUGGAGAGGUGGAUUUGGAUUUGGGAAAUUAUGAGCGCUUCCUCGAUGUUACGCUUACGAAGAACAACAAUAUUACCACUGGAAAAAUAUACCAGUCUGUACUUGAGAAGGAACGUAAAGGGGAUUAUCUUGGGAAAACUGUUCAGGUGGUUCCACACAUCACUGAUGCCAUUAAAGACUGGAUUGAAACAGUUGCUGUGAUUCCCGUAGAUGGAAAGGAGGGCCCUGCAGAUGUUUGCGUGAUUGAGCUGGGGGGCACUGUGGGCGACAUUGAAUCUAUGCCAUUUAUCGAGGCUCUACGGCAAUUGUCCUUUCAAGUAGGGCGUGAUAACUUCUGUCUCAUCCAUGUUAGCCUGAUACCAGUGUUGGGUGUAGUGGGAGAGCAAAAAACAAAGCCCACACAACAUAGUGUCAGGGAACUGCGAGCAUUGGGAUUGACACCUCAUCUUUUAGCAAGUCGCUCUGCUGAGCCUCUUUUAGAAAGUACCAAGGAAAAACUCUCAAAAUUUUGCCAUGUUCCUGUUGAUAACAUUCUGAAUAUCCAUGAUGUACCAAACAUUUGGCACAUUCCCCUGCUACUAAGAAACCAAAAUGCUCACCAUUCAAUUCUGCAGCAGCUAAACUUACUUAGUCAAGCUACGCCUCCUGAUUUACAACAAUGGACAGAGAUGGCUGAGACCUAUGAUAAUCUUACUGAAUCUGUUAGGAUUGCAAUGGUGGGAAAGUAUGUUGGUCUAACAGAUUCAUAUUUAUCUGUUGUGAAGGCCCUUCUGCAUGCUUGUGUUGCUCGCUCUUUGAAACCAUCAAUUGACUGGAUUGCAGCUUCUGACCUUGAAGAUGACAGUGCACAAUCUACACCAGAAGCACAUGCUGUGGCCUGGACGACUUUGAAAAAUGCAGCUUGUGUGUUGGUUCCUGGGGGAUUUGGAGAUCGUGGUGUGAGAGGUAUGAUGCUAGCUGCCAAAUAUGCCAGAGAGAACAAUGUUCCUUACCUGGGGAUUUGCUUGGGAAUGCAAAUUUCUGUAAUUGAGUUUGCUCGAUCAGUUUUGGGUUUGGAAAGAGCAAACAGUGUAGAGUUUGAUGCUCAAACACCAAAUCCAGUUGUGGUUUUCAUGCCGGAGGGUUCACGAACGCAUAUGGGGAGUACCAUGAGGCUUGGAUCUCGAAGAACACUCUUACAAACACCUGAUUGUAUCACUUCCAAGCUGUAUGUGAUGUAGCUAUCCCACUAGGUAUGGUAAUUCAGAGUAUGUGGAUGAAAGGCAUCGGCAUAGAUAUGAGGUAAAUCCAGAUGUUAUUGGAACUAUAGAAGAAGCUGGGCUAAAAUUUGUUGGAAAGGAUGAAAGUGGAAAACGAAUGGAGAUCUUAGAGCUUCCAAGUCAUCCAUUCUACGUAGGUGUGCAAUUCCAUCCAGAAUUCAAAUCCCGGCCAGGGAGACCAUCCGCUUUGUUUUUAGGUCUAAUAUUGGCAGCAACAGGGAAGUUGGAAACGUAUAUUAGUAGGCAUCAGAAUGGAAGUUGAUUUAUGAUUCGUUACUAGAGGACUCCUAUAAUAUUUUUCUAAGGUAAACUGGUUCUCCAAAGGGAAAAUAAUUAGGGAGAGGAAACGGAGUGAGAACUAAAGGAAGAGAUAAGGGAAAUCCUGAAGUAUGGUGUUUUGUCCAAUUGCCCCAAGCUUCUCUAGGUUGGUUGCUAAGUAAUAUGGUUUCCACCUCCACAUUCGUUGUUUAAUCGUCAGAACACCUUAUAUAAUUUUUUUAUAUUAAAUUAACUGAAUGGUAAGAAGAUGCUCAAAGGAGGUUGCAAAUACUAGUAUAUCUGCGGCUAUGACUUAUGAAAUGAGGCAUGGCUUCUAGAAUAGUAACUUUGUUAAGGGCUCAGAAGGUCAUUUCUUUCCUUUGUCGAUAUAAACAAGUGUUGGUCACGCUCUGUUAAAUAAAUUUGGGGUAUGUUCAAACCUUUCCCGGUAGGUGUAGCUUGCCGUGGACGUAAUGCCAUGCUUCUAAUAUAAACAUUUCAUUCUUUUUAUCUUUUUCGACCUUUAUUGCAGAACCAAAAAGUAUUGAUGAUUAUUCAAUAUGCAGAGGUCUGAAGCACAGCUCAUUUUUUUCUACAAUAUAAGCAGUCACUUUCCAUUUCAAAGCUGACCGUUAACCUAAUCUUUACGGACUUCUGUAUUACAGAUUAUGCUACCUAGUUGAGUUCACCAUACCCCAAAUAUACCUGAUGCUUUUCAUUACUUAGGUUCUAUACUCUUUUUCAACAGUUGUAAGUAGAACUAAAGAGGUGAUAUAUGUGCGUCUGUUUUUUUGUCGGGGACUCGCGCUAUCCACAUGUUCUAUUAUUUUGAAGCUUUGUUAAUGAUAACUUUUGAAAAGGAUGAAAUCAUUAAG